AGAGUGUGGCCAAGCUGUGCACCCAAGGGCUGCCCUUGCUGGGAGAAAGGCACGCCUUCUUCUUGACACAAAGCCUGGUGAAGCUUUUUCUGCCCACAAAGACAUCUUCUGCAUGCCAAGCCAUCAGCCUGCUUAAGGAACCUGAGCUCCACAGGACUCAAUGAAAAAGCAACUGUAACAGAAGAGAUAGGUAAGUUAUGUUCUCUGUUUACUUUGUUUAU